CAGCCGUAAACUAUGCGCGUUAGGUGUACUGGUGACCACGAGUCACCGGGGUGCCGAAGGGAAACCGUGAAACGUGCCGCCUGGGAAGUACGGUCGCAAGGCUGAAACUUAAAGGAAUUGGCGGGGGAGCACCACAACGGGUGGGAGCCUGCGGGUUUAAUUUGGACUCAACGCCGGAAAUCUCACCGGAUAGGACAGACAUAUGAUAGUCGGGCUGAAGACUCUACUUGAUGAUCUGAGAGGUGGUGCAUGGCGUCAGUGACU
rnacentral:rRNA from 1 species